rfam:Amphibacillus xylanus NBRC 15112 DNA, complete genome.
AUGACAAGUGACCGUCAUAUCUGAAGGAAGUCGGCGGCAAACCUCCGCUCCGAGGAACACGAACCUCAUAUAAGGCUAAGUAAUACUGGAUGAGUUUGCAACACAAAACAAAGUCCUUACUGUCAAAGGUAUUAUAGAGUAAAUGAGGCGGGGACAUGGAGGGAAAGUCUGUACC